CCUACGGGUAGCUGCAGUGGGGAAUAUUGCACAAUGGGGGGAACCCUGAUGCAGCGACGCCGCGUGGGUGAGGAAGUACUUCGGUAUGUAAAGCCCUAUCAGCAGGGAAGAAAAUGACGGUACCUGACUAAGAAGCCCCGGCUCACUACGUGCCAGCAGCCGCGGUAAUACGUAGGGGGCAAGCGUUAUCCGGAUUUACUGGGUGUAAAGGGAGCGUAGACGGGGUGCCAAGUCUGAUGGGAAAGGCCGGGGCUCAACCCCGGGACUGCAUUGGAAACUGGCAUGCUGGAGUGCCGGAGAGGCAAGCGGAAUUCCUGGUGUAGCGGUGAAAUGCGGAGAUAUUAGGAGGAACACCGAUGGCGAAGGCGGCUUACUGGACGGUAACUGACGUUGAGGCUCGAAAGCGUGGGGAGCAAACAGGAUUAGAUACCCCUGUAGUC
rnacentral:rRNA from 1 species